ACUCCUGCGGGAGGCAGCAGUGGGGAAUUUUGGACAAUGGGCGAAAGCCUGAUCCAGCCAUGCCGCGUGCAGGAUGAAGGCCUUCGGGUUGUAAACUGCUUUUGUACGGAACGAAACGGCCUUUUCUAAUAAAGAGGGCUAAUGACGGUACCGUAAGAAUAAGCACCGGCUAACUACGUGCCAGCAGCCGCGGUAAUACGUAGGGUGCAAGCGUUAAUCGGAAUUACUGGGCGUAAAGCGUGCGCAGGCGGUUAUGUAAGACAGUUGUGAAAUCCCCGGGCUCAACCUGGGAACUGGAUCUGUGACUGCAUAGCUAGAGUACGGUAGAGGGGGAUGGAAUUCCGCGUGUAGCAGUGAAAUGCGUAGAUAUGCGGAGGAACACCGAUGGCGAAGGCAAUCCCCUGGACCUGUACUGACGCUCAUGCACGAAAGCGUGGGGAGCAAACAGGAUUAGAAACCCCGGUAGUCCCAUGAU
rnacentral:rRNA from 1 species